rnacentral:rRNA from 1 species
AUUGAACGCUGGCGGCAGGCCUAACACAUGCAAGUCGAGCGAGCGGCGGACGGGUGAGUAAUGUCUGGGAAACUGCCUGAUGGCGGGGGAUAACUACUGGAAACGGUAGCUAAUACCGCAUACCAUCAGAUGUGCCCAGAUGGGAUUAGCUAGGAGGUGGGGUAACGGCUCACCUAGGCGACGAUCCAUAGCUGGUCUGAGAGGAUGACCAGUCACACUGGAACUGAGACACGGUCCAGACGCCGACGGUAGGCAGCAGUGGGGAAUAUUGCACAAGGGGCGAAAGCAUGAUGCAGCCAUGCCGCGUGUAUGAAGAAGGCCUUCGGGUUGUAAAGUACUUGCAGCGAGGAGGCGUUACCCGCAGAAGAAGCACCGGCUAACGCCGUGCCAGCAGCCGCGGUAAUUC